CCUACGGGAGGCAGCAGUAAGGAAUAUUGGUCAAUGGACGCAAGUCUGAACCAGCCAUGCCGCGUGAAGGAUGAAGGUCCUCUGGAUUGUAAACUUCUUUUAUAGGGGACGAAAAAAGGGAAUUCUUUCUCGUCUGACGGUACCCUAGGAAUAAGCACCGGCUAACUCCGUGCCAGCAGCCGCGGUAAUACGGAGGGUGCAAGCGUUAUCCGGAUUUACUGGGUUUAAAGGGUGCGUAGGUGGGUCUGUAAGUCAGUGGUGAAAUCUCCGGGCUUAACCCGGAAACUGCCAUUGAUACUAUAGGUCUUGAAUACUCUGGAGGUAAGCGGAAUAUGUCAUGUAGCGGUGAAAUGCUUAGAUAUGACAUAGAACACCAAUUGCGAAGGCAGCUUACUACGGGGUCAUUGACACUGAGGCACGAAAGCGUGGGGAUCAAACAGGAUUAGAUACCCUGGUAGUCCACGCCCUAAACGAUGGAUACUCGACAUCAGCGAUACACUGUGUGUNUGAGCGAAGACAUAAGUAUCCACCNCGGAGUACGAUCGCAGAUAGAACGUACAAUAGAAGUUAGUACGGCGUGAGACGUAGACCGACGGACGACGACGAGGGAGGAGGG
rnacentral:rRNA from 1 species